GAACAAAAAGCAGAAGACAAUAGGCCCUCCAGUUUGCGUUUAAGUUUCUGUUCUACAGGCUUCACAUCACUGCACAGCUCAUAAUUUGUUUCCCCACCACCACCGCUCUCAAUUAGAAAUCUGGAAUAGUUUAUCAUGCCAAAUUACAAUCUUAGCAGAAACCACGGAACACACAACAUGCAUAUGAAACAGGAAGUGACAGAGUAAGAGGAAAGCUGAGAUGGGGAGCUACCCCUUCGGUGCCCUCACUCACAGGAGUCGUCUGUGGUGGGCUUUCUGGAGCAGUCCCGGGAGUUUCCCUGGGUCUCAUGCUUCGCUUUUCCGGGAAAUCUGCUUUUAUCCUUGAAGGACAGCCAGGAAGUCACAGUAACACGCAAGAAGGAAGAGCAGCGGAUUGAAGGAGCAGGGAAGGCAAGGGAGAACCACAGGAGGAAGUCCGAAUGUCAGGCCGGCCUUCUCUGCUGCAGAUGUUGAAUAAAGUCCCGAUUGUUUUUGGUGCUCCCAAUUCUCGACUGGGAAUUGUUGAAUUCCUUCUCGUCUGUGCCAUCGCGAACCCAUAUGUUUGUCUGCUCUGGGCUGCAGCCCAAGCCCAGGGAGGAGAAACAUUCCUCGGAUAGACACUGAUUUCCUCCGGGCAAAACAUCUACGUCUCGACUCCCACAGUAUCCACACCCCCCAAGCCACACCAGAACAACAUGGACCGUUUUUAUGGCUUUAUGUAACAGGCAGAGGGCAAGCGAGGAGGGGGACAGGGCUGAUGGAAAAGAGGGAUUCAUUGCCUAAGAGUGAGAAACAAAGGGAAAAAAGGAAGAGUGGGAUUAUAUGAAGGAGGUGGGAUGGAGAGAUUCUUCUUAAAAUAUAAAACAAGUGCAUUUGUUCUAUUUGAUUAUUCAGCAAUCCCCUACCUUUUUCUGUCUGUACCAACAUUGAGGCAUUACUUUCAUUAUUUUGUAUCUUACCUAUCCGGAUGAAACGACUUUAAUAGGUUCUGAAAUAGUCUUGCCUUUCCUUUUGUUUUUGAUUUUUAAUGACCUCUUCCUCUUUGUUAGCGCCAGCUUUUCCUGAGAAUCAUAUCGGCUCCCCCCACUCUGAACGCAGUUCCGCUCAAUGUAGAAUAACGUACCGUGAUUACAAAGUUCAGGACUGACUUCAUUAACACAGGUUGUAAAGCCAGUAUGGCAAUACUGCAGCAUGAGUCUUACAGGACUAAGCCACCAUCACUAACUGUAAUGUGGCUCCAGUCAGUUUGGAGACAUUUCAGAAAGCAGCCACAUCAAAGGGACGCUUUAUUUGUUCCUUGCAUUUCAUUUCUUGCGUAAUGCUUUCUGGGAUGCCUCUUAGUCACUAUCUGUUGUUGCUUUUGCUAAAGAUGCCGUCUUCCAGUCCAGCAGCUCCAGCAGAAAUACACAUUUUCUGUUCAACAUAGAAAAGUGUCCUCACCACUUUAGGGGAUAACAGUAUAUGAGUGCUGCACUGUUUUUCCAGCAUGCUUCAUCGGUUCCGUAGCACUGCAAUGGUAAUUCAUUUCUCUGCUGUUUUACUCCUGAGUGGCUCGUUGGCUUUGUAGUCAGAGCUGCUGCCUCUCGGCUCUCAGGUGGUGAGUUUGAUUCUGGACUGGGAUGGCUGCUGUGUGAUGUUCAUCACACCCAU